rnacentral:rRNA from 1 species
GAUGAACGCUGGCGGCGUGCCUAAUACAUGCAAGUCGAGCGAACAGACGAGGAGCUUGCUCCUUCGACGUUAGCGGCGGACGGGUGAGUAACACGUAGGUAACCUACCUAUAAGACUGGGAUAACUUCGGGAAACCGGAGCUAAUACCGGAUAAUAUAUUGAACCGCAUGGUUCGAUAGUGAAAGAUGGCUUUGCUGUCACUUAUAGAUGGAUCUGCGCCGUAUUAGCUAGUUGGUAAGGUAACGGCUUACCAAGGCAACGAUACGUAGCCGACCUGAGAGGGUGAUCGGCCACACUGGAACUGAGACACGGUCCAGACUCCUACGGGAGGCAGCAGUAGGGAAUCUUCCGCAAUGGGCGAAAGCCUGACGGAGCAACGCCGCGUGAGUGAUGAAGGUCUUCGGAUCGUAAAACUCUGUUAUUAGGGAAGAACAAACGUGUAAGUAACUGUGCACGUCUUGACGGUACCUAAUCAGAAAGCCACGGCUAACUACGUG